CUGAUGGGACCGCGGGAGUACAGCGGGCGGUCAGGCACAGUGUUACCAUGAUCACCAGGCCGGGUCCCGUCGCGUCACUUCCGCCCCGCCGCCGGAAGCCAGAAGCGUCAGACCGGAGCCGCGGGCAACGUGUCGAGGAUGCACGCUGGUGGGUGAGGUCCACGGGACUGAGGUGCGACCCUGAGGUGCAGCUCUGAGGUGCCCACCCGCCUGAGCUUAUGGAGUCCUCCUUCCAAGGGGAGUGCAGAAGUCAAUGGUUCCUAAUGAAGCUUCAGUGCAUCCCAGAAAAAAUGAGAACCCUGCCAAGCCUUUCGACAAAGAUGGAGUAUGGCCCUAAUUGCCCACUAAGGGACCAGGGGUCAGACACAAAGACACCCUUCCUCUUUAAAGAAGAGUCUGAAGUCCUGUACACUGAA